rnacentral:rRNA from 1 species
AGAACGAACGCUGGCGGCGUACUUAACACAUGCAAGUCGGACGAGAAAGGGAGCUUCGGUUCCUGAGUAAAGUGGCGAACGGGUGCGUAACACGUGAGUAAUCUACCCUAGACACUGGGAUAACUUUCCGAAAGGGAGGCUAAUACCGGAUAGGUCCUUAUAGCAACAGCCAUGAGGGGAAAGCAGGCCUCUGUUUCAUGCUUGCAGUUUAGGAUGAGCUUGCGGCUCAUUAGCUAGUUGGUAGGGUAAAAGCCUACCAAGGCGACGAUGGGUAGCUGGUCUGAGAGGAUGAUCAGCCACACUGGCACUGAGACACGGGCCAGACUCCUACGGGAGGCAGCAGUGGGGAAUUUGCGCAAUGGGCGAAAGCCUGACGCAGUAACGCCGCGUGGAGGAUGAAGG